GUGCUUGCUUCGGCAGCACAUAUACUAAAAUAGGAACGAUACAGAGAAGAUUAGCAUGGCCCCUGAGCAAAGAUGACAUGCAAAUAGUAAUAGUAAAACAUGUGAUA